GAUGAACGCUAGCGGCAGGCUUAAUACAUGCAAGUCGAGGGGCAGCAUGAUUGUAGCAAUACAAUUGAUGGCGACCGGCAAACGGGUGCGGAACACGUACACAACCUCCCAAUAAGUGGGGAAUAGCCCAGAGAAAUUUGGAUUAAUACCCCGUAACAUAACGAUGUGGCAUCACAUUGUUAUUAUAGAUUUUUCGCUUAUUGAUGGGUGUGCGGCUGAUUAGAUAGUUGGCGGGGUAACGGCCCACCAAGUCUACGAUCAGUAGCUGAUGUGAGAGCAUGAUAGGCCACACGGGCACUGAGACACGGGCCCGACUCCUACGGGAGGGAGCAGUAAGGAAUAUUGGACAAUGGACGCAAGUCUGAUCCAGCCAUGCCGCGUGAAGGAUUAAGGUCCUCUGGAUUGUAAACUUCUUUUAUAAGGGACGAAAAAAGGCUUUUCUAAGUCGUCUGACGGUACCUUAUGAAUAAGCACCGGCUAACUCCGUGCCAGCCGCCGCCGUAAGAC
rnacentral:rRNA from 1 species